rnacentral:rRNA from 1 species
CCUACGGGUGGCUGCAGUGGGGAAUAUUGCACAAUGGGCGCAAGCCUGAUGCAGCCAUGCCGCGUGUGUGAAGAAGGCCUUCGGGUUGUAAAGCACUUUCAGCGGGGAGGAAGGCGUUAAGGUUAAUAACCUUGGCGAUUGACGUUACCCGCAGAAGAAGCACCGGCUAACUCCGUGCCAGCAGCCGCGGUAAUACGGAGGGUGCAAGCGUUAAUCGGGAUUACUGGGCGUAAAGCGCACGCAGGCGGUCUGUCAAGUCGGAUGUGAAAUCCCCGGGCUCAACCUGGGAACUGCAUUCGAAACUGGCAGGCUAGAGUCUUGUAGAGGGGGGUAGAAUUCCAGGUGUAGCGGUGAAAUGCGUAGAGAUCUGGAGGAAUACCGGUGGCGAAGGCGGCCCCCUGGACAAAGACUGACGCUCAGGUGCGAAAGCGUGGGGAGCAAACAGGAUUAGAUACCCCUGUAGUC